rnacentral:rRNA from 2 species
AUGGUUGUUUGAACCGCAUGGUUCAAACAUAAAAGGUGGCUUCGGCUACCACUUACAGAUGGACCCGCGGCGCAUUAGCUAGUUGGUGAGGUAACGGCUCACCAAGGCNACGAUGCGUAGCCGACCUGAGAGGGUGAUCGGCCACACUGGGACUGAGACACGGCCCAGACUCCUACGGGAGGCAGCAGUAGGGAAUCUUCCGCAAUGGACGAAAGUCUGACGGAGCAACGCCGCGUGAGUGAUGAAGGUUUUCGGAUCGUAAAGCUCUGUUGUUAGGGAAGAACAAGUACCGUUCGAAUAGGGCGGUACCUUGACGGUACCUAACCAGAAAGCCACGGCUAACUACGUGCCAGCAGCCGCGGUAAUACGUAGGUGGCAAGCGUUGUCCGGAAUUAUUGGGCGUAAAGGGCUCGCAGGCGGUUUCUUAAGUCUGAUGUGAAAGCCCCCGGCUCAACCGGGGAGGGUCAUUGGAAACUGGGGAACUUGAGUGCAGAAGAGGAGAGUGGAAUUCCACGUGUAGCGGUGAAAUGCGUAGAGAUGUGGAGGAACACCAGUGGCGAAGGCGACUCUCUGGUCUGUAACUGACGCUGAGGAGCGAAAGCGUGGGGAGCGAACAGGAUUAGAUACCCUGGUAGUCCACGCCGUAAACGAUGAGUGCUAAGU